ACAGUCCGAGACGGCCCCCGGCUAUAAAUAGCGUCAGGCGCAUGGCUCUUUGGGAGGCGCUGAGAUUCCGGGCCCGGCGGCCGCGGGGAGCGAGUGUCUGCGAGGCGCUGGGCAAACGGCCUCCUCUCUCUGCCUUUUGAGGGUUCUUUUUGUAAUAGCAGCAGACUAGAAAAGCGAGCCGGCUUGGAGUCCGCCCGGGAAUCCGAGCGCACAUUCAUCAGUGUCGAGAGAAAAAAAGCUACAUAAAUAUAUAUUAUGUGGAUAAAUCUGUAGACAAGAGCUCUCUCUCGCGCGCGCGCUCUCCCAGUCUCUCUGUGUGUGUCUCUUUCUCUGCUUUUUUUCCUUCUUGCACCCCCAACCUGCCAGAGCAGCCCCACAGCUCCCUCCCGCCCGGCAUCUACCGCCACCCGAGCCACCUGCCAGGAUGGGGCUGGGAGCGGUCGGGCAGCGGCGAGGGGCAGAAGUACCGGGAGUAGAGACUCGGGGUCCAACCCCCACCCCAGCCCGCCUCCGAAGGCGGAAGGUGGGGGUCUCCGUCCCGGGCAGCCUCCCCCGCCCGGGAGAGCGUGGCUGGUCCGCCGGCGACUGGCGGGAGGAAGGUAGGAGUCCGGCGCCCCAGGCUGCUCGCCCGCUGGAGGGGGAGGAAGGCGCUGGGCGCGGUGGCCGCUGAGCCAGCGCGGGGGACUGCUUGAUGUUGCCCUCGUCUGCUUUACGGGUUCAAAUAGAAUAAUUUUUUUAAAAUCACCAUCAAAAGAAAGCCCCCGAAUAGCUAUCUGGGUUGCAGCCGGACCGAGACUCGCGCGGCGUGCGCUGCCCCCGCGGGUUUCGUUUCCGGCACCUACAGCUCCCGAGGUACGAGGCGGAGUCGCUCCUACCGUGGGAAACCGGGGGUCCAGCCGCCCCGUCUGGACCCCGCCGGACUCCCCGCCAGGCCUCCCGGGGCUGGCAUCUCGGCUGCGCGGGAGAGGGAGUGGCAGGCGCGGAGCCGGGAGCGGGGUCGGAGCAGCCCCGCCUCUGGGGGCAAAUACUGGUGGUGAACUUGGCUGGGGUAGCAUAUUUUCACGUUAAUGAUGUUUACCUGCACCCCGUCCUCUCUCACGUUCGCUUUUUUCAGGGCAGCCUCUUCGCUUCAGAAGCCUGGCAAAUUAAAAUAACGCGCCCGCUCCCCCGCGGGCUGCGGGACUGGGAGCUGGGGCGGCGGGGCGGAGCGGAGCGGCUGGCCUAAGCCGCGCGGGCCCUCGGGUUUCAGGGUUUCUCUUUUCUAGCCCUCGGAUUACAUUACGUUACUAGAGGAUAUGUUUGCAAUUUUAAUUAAAGAAAUGAGACCCCAGCUGCCUGAAAACCCAGGCCAAACCCAUUUGGUACAAGCACAAUACGGAGCUCUCCAGCACGGAAGGAGGCCCGGAGGCCCGAGGUUCUCAGCCCCAGGCCUCGAGUCGGCUCAGGACGCCUCUCUCUGAGGAUCCCGGGCCCAAACCAAAGAGCAAGUAUGAUUUUUAGAACUGUGGAACUUCAUCCUUUCAUUUUAGCUUCUCCUGCCUUUGCUUGCUGGAAUCGGGUGAAAGCAGAAUACUUAAACUUCUGCCAAACUCCCAAGAAGCUGACCUUCCAAUUUGCAGUGUCAUUGCUCAGGUUGUUUCCUGCCCAUCAAAUGCCAGUGGCCUAGAUUGACCAUUGCCACUGUGCCUGGAGAGGCCAAGAAGUACACCAUGGAGAUGACAAUGACUAUGGCAAUCCAGCAGUCUGCUCUUACUGGGUGAUUGUAAGAGGGUAAAGCAGAUAUGCUGAACUUUGUGAUGAUUUUAUAUUCCAGUAAACACCCAGUAAGACAACAUGGGUGGUGGCAGGGCCCAUAUGGGUAUUGGAGAAGUAGUGGACAAAGUCAGAUCCAGCCCAGCCAAUGAGGGCAGGGCCUUACUGGUGUUGGGCUCACCAGUGUUGAAUAGAAGAUGCCCAGAGUGAGAGAGACAACUUCCAGGACUAGAACUGUGUAUGGAGCCCAAACCAGGAGAGUCGGGGGAAAGAGGGCAGCUGGACAUCGUCUUCGUGGAUGGAAUCUUGCCAGUGAAUGCUACAGUAGCUCUACUGAACAAUCUGGUAAGCAAACAGAUAAGGCAAUUCCAUGGAGCUUGGAAGGGAAUAGAUUAAAACUAAUAAACAAACACACAAAAUAACCACAAAUUGUUAAAAGAGCUAUGAAUGAAAUAAACCAGUGCUAACAAAGAACUGGGAAGUGGUUGGAGAACACAAUUUAGAAUGAAUGGUCAAGAAAGCCAAGACUUGAAGAAUGAGAUGGAGCCAGCCAGGUUCAGAACAUCACAGAGAGCAAUGCAUAAGAGAGAGCAAUGCACAGCAUGUGCAAAGGUCUGGAUCAGAAAAGUGUUGGCUUAUUGAGGGAGAUAAAGGGAUUUGUAUGGUUGGAGAAUGGGCAAGGUAGAAAGAAACAAGUUACAGAAGAGGGGCUUAUUGUGGGAACUGUAUUAGCUUUUGCAACAAAACAAACAAUCCCAAAACUUAGUGCUUAAAACAAUAGUGAUUCAUUAAAUCUCAUGAUUCUGUGGGUUUCUUCUGGUCUGGGCUUGCUUGGACAGGGCUGGAUGAUCUAUAAUGACCUCACUUACAUGUCUAGGGUCUCAGCUGCAAUGGCAAGCAUGGUGGGAAUGGCUGGGCCUCUCUUGGGGUCUCUCAUCAUUCUAUAGAAAGCUCAGGCUUGUUUAGAUGAUGGUUGGAGGAUUCCCAGCAGCAAGAGAAGGCAAAAUCCAUUGAGUAAGGGUGUUCCAAGCCUCUGUAUUCCAUUGGCUAAUGUUUCAUUGGCCAAAGCAAGACACAUGGCCAAGUCCUGGAAGCGAAGUCUAGAAAAAUCCACCUCUUGAUGGCAGCAUCUAAGAAAUAUUAAUUCCCCAUUUUUCAAUAUAACCUCAGGAAUGAAAACAGAAACUCUUUUAAUUGGGUACCUACUCCAAACUGGGGUUUCAUUCAAUUUCCCUCCCUUC